UUAAACUACCUAUAUUAAGGUGUUUUAUUUAUUUAUAUAUAGGUACUAGUGAGUUUAAUUUAUGUAAAGAGUAGAUAGUACAUUAAGGAAUAUUAAACUACCUAUAUUAAGGUGUUUUAGUUCUUGAUAUAUAGGUACUAGUGAGUUUAAUUUAUGUAAAGAGUAGAUAGUACUUGUACCGUAUGUACGCUUCUGAAAUGAAGUGUUUUCAGCAGGACAAGCUUAAGUGGGAACAUUUGUAAUGGUUUCUGAAGUAUUGGUCAUUCUCUGGUAGAUGUGUUGGUAUAGACUUGGGAUUUUGUUCUUCUAAGAGUGUUACACACAGGACCUAUUAUUCCUUAGUAAACUAACAUGCUAUUACUUAGAAGUUAGUGAUUUAUUGUCCUACUUUCAUGUGUCUGUAUAACUUUGAUUUCAGGGAAGUGCAGGAGGAUCAGAGUAUACAAGAAGAAAUGAUUCAGAAAAAGUCUGAUAUUAGUGAAAAAGAAAAAACAAAGAAAAAGAAGAAAAUUAAACAAAAAAAGGUGAAAAGCAAAGAAAAAAAGCACAAGGUUGAAGAGAAGAACAACGAUGAAAUAGAAGAAAAAAAAGAUAAAACAUUAAAGUCAAAGAAGAAAGGCUGGUUACUAACGACGUAGGAAAAUAAACGUUUCUCGUGGAAGCUGACAUGAUUCUUCAAAUGGCUGAUUUUUAUUAAGAUAAAAUUAAGGGUUUUAAAUGUUGAGGGCAGAUUGAUUUUAAUUUGUAUCUACACAAAGGUGAAGUAAGGAGGUAAUCUGCUGUGUACUUAAUACGUGUACACAAGAUACUUCCCUUGUCUGAACAAGAUAUCUAGUGUUUUCUAGGUCCCAAAUUAUUUAUAUUUUUUAUAAGUACAAAAGUCUUUUUCUUUUCUUCCAUACUCUAUGAAACUGAAUUCUAUUUUUAUAAAAGUUAUCGUCUGAAUCUCUCCUGAAUUGCAGAAAGUUGAUUUGUUUAUUUUAAUAUUAAAUAAGAAGGAAAAAGGCCCACCCGGUGACUCGGUUUUAAGUCCGAGGGCUUAUCCCGUAAACUUAGGUUUCGAUACCUGUAGUGGGCACAGCACAGAAAGCCUCUUACAUAGCUUUGUGCUUAAGAAAGAAGAGUUUAUCUUUAACUGUUAGUGGAGUUUGGUCAGGCUUUUUUUAUCAAAUGUAUUUAUGAUGCUUAGGUAAUUGUUGUCCAUUUUAAUUAAAAUUAAUAUUUUUACAAAGCUGUGAAUGUCUUAGUUUGACUACUGAUAGUUGCUUCAUGUAUUAACUGUGCAAUACUCUUAGUUCAUUCGUUAUUAAAGAAGUUAACGUAUCGUUUUCUUUGGUGAUGUGUAAGUUGUGUUAUAUCACAAAUGUUCGCCCUACUGUUUUGUCAGCUUCGAACCUUGUGUCCAAAAAAGGUUUGUUUGUGUUACAGAAGUAGACUAUAUUAGUAAACUCAACUGUAGUCUAAAGGAGAAGUCAGUUUAGCUAUAUCUCGUACUACGGAAGUGACUCGGCUACUUGUAGCACUGUGCUGGUGAUUUGAUGUUUAAAAACAUUUCAAGCCUUGUCACGCCAUAACAAUUUAUUUAUGUUGAAUACAAUUAGUGACCAUUACAAAUAUUUGACUCGGCUACUUGUAGCACUGUGCUGGUGAUU
rnacentral:lncRNA from 1 species